CAUAGGAACAUGAGGGACAUACUUUUCCACCUUUAAACAUUUCCUCUGAGGCUAAACUAAUGGUUCAGCCACUGCUGAGCUGGGGUAUACUGUCACAUGCAAAGGUAACUCAGCAGUUUUUUAAAACUCAUCAACUAAAAUGAAGGUAACCCUCCUGCGUGUUUAGCUAUUUGAGUAUGUUCAUGAUGACAAUUUCAUCAAUUACAUAAGAAGAUGUGGAAUGCCCAGGCAGGUUGUGCUUCAUUCUGCUUACCUCCGUAUCCACCCGCACACACGUUCAACCUGAUACACUAGAAGAAAUCAGGUGCGAUGAUUAAACAGUCUUGGAGAGUAUUUCUUCAGGGUCAUUCUAGGAGUCAAAAGGGGCUGGAGUAUUAUGAAGUCUAAGUGAAUGAGAAGACUGUGGGACCAGCUGUAUCAUCUUCACACUGGAUUUGCAAAGGGUAGUCCUGCUAGAGGUUGGGAAGGGGGAAAUAAUGAGAAAUAAGGUUCGCCUUAGCUUAGAUUCCUCAGAUGCGAGUCUGUUUAUUCACAGUUGUUUUUAAGCUUCCAGUUAACUGUUUUCUCCCUUUGAAAUAUCUAAAGGGUACUUUCCCACUUAGGGCCCUGAUCCAAGGACAAUCCACCCUCGUGGAGAUCUCUGCCACUCUCCAAAGAGCACUAGGAUCAUCCUUAAGCGUUUUAUGCUCCAAAAGGCCAGAGCCUGUUCCUGUCUGACAGCCCCCCACACCAUUUCCAGACAUGCCAGAUGGCCUCACUGACCUAUUUCAACACAACUGGAGCAGAAUGAUUCCUGUGUUGGCUUCGGCAAGCCUUCACAGAGGCCUCCAGGCAGUGAGAGUGGUGCCCCCAAACUUCUUCCUGGGAAUGGCACUCAGUGCCUCUGUAUCAAGC